AAUGGAAAUUGCUAGAUAGUAUACUUCAAAAUAAGAUUUCCGUUUUUAUAUCAUUUUUUAAAAUAAGUUAAGGUUAGGUUAGGGUUAGGUUAGGGUUGGGGUUAGGGUUAGGGUUAAGGUUAGUAUUAGGGUUAGGGUUUAGAUUUGUGUUAGGAUGGUUUUUUCUACGUUAUAAAUACGGAAAUCUUAUUUUGAAGUAUACUAUCUAGCAAUUACCGA